rnacentral:rRNA from 1 species
AUUGAACGCUGGCGGCAGGCCUAACACAUGCAAGUCGAGCGGAUGAAGGGAGCUUGCUCCUGGAUUCAGCGGCGGACGGGUGAGUAAUGCCUAGGAAUCUGCCUGGUAGUGGGGGAUAACGUCCGGAAACGGGCGCUAAUACCGCAUACGUCCUGAGGGAGAAAGUGGGGGAUCUUCGGACCUCACGCUAUCAGAUGAGCCUAGGUCGGAUUAGCUAGUUGGUGGGGUAAAGGCCUACCAAGGCGACGAUCCGUAACUGGUCUGAGAGGAUGAUCAGUCAAACUGGAAAUGAGAGACGGUCCAGACACAUACGGGAGGCAGCAGUGGGGAAUAUUGGACAAUGGGCGAAAGCAUGAUCCAGCCAUGCCGCGUGUGUGAAGAAGGUCUUCGGAUUGUAAGCACUUUAAGUUGGGAGGAAGGGCAGUAAGUUAAUACCUUGCUGUUUUGACGUUACCAACAGAAUAAGCACCGGCUAACUUCGUG